rnacentral:rRNA from 1 species
UACGGGGGGGGCAAGCGUUGUUCGGAAUUACUGGGCGUAAAGGGUUUGUAGGUGGCUCGCUAAGUCAUACGUGAAAUCCCUCAGCUUAACUGGGGAACUGCGUGUGAGACUGGCAAGCUCGAGUGCAGGAGAGGAAUGCGGAAUUCCAGGUGUAGCGGUGAAAUGCGUAGAUAUCGGGAGCAACAUCAGUGGCGAAGGCGGCCCUCUGGUCCAGUACUGACACUCAAGUGCGAAAGCGUGGGGAGCAAACAGG